GACGAACGCUGGCGGCGUGCUUAACACAUGCAAGUCGAGCGGUAAGGCCCUUUCGGGGGUACGACGAGCGGCGAACGGGUGAGUAACACGUGGGUGACCUGCCCUCAGCUCUGGGAUAAGCCUGGGAAACCGGGUCUAAUACUGGAUAUGACUCCAUGACGCAUGUUGUGGGGUGGAAAGCCUUGUGCGGCUGAGGAUGGGCCCGCGGCCUAUCAGCUUGUUGGUGGGGGUGANGGGCCUACCAAGGCGACGACGGGUAGCCGGCCUGAGAGGGCGACCGGCCACACUGGGACUGAGACACGGCCCAGACUCCUACGGGAGGCAGCAGUGGGGAAUCUUGCGCAAUGGGCGAAAGCCUGACGCAGCGGCGCCGCGUGAGGGAUGACGGCCU
rnacentral:rRNA from 1 species